rnacentral:rRNA from 1 species
ACUCCUACGGGAGGCAGCAGUGGGGAAUAUUGCACAAUGGGGGAAACCCUGAUGCAGCCAUGCCGCGUGUGUGAAGAAGGCCUUCGGGUUGUAAAGCACUUUCAGUAGGGAGGAAGGUAGUGUAGUUAAUACCUGCAUUAUUUGACGUUACCUACAGAAGAAGCACCGGCUAACUCCGUGCCAGCAGCCGCGGUAAUACGGAGGGUGCGAGCGUUAAUCGGAAUUACUGGGCGUAAAGCGCAUGCAGGCGGCCUGUUAAGUCAGAUGUGAAAGCCCGGGGCUUAACCUCGGAAUUGCAUUUGAAACUGGCAGGCUAGAGUCUUGUAGAGGGGGGUAGAAUUUCAGGUGUAGCGGUGAAAUGCGUAGAGAUCUGAAGGAAUACCAGUGGCGAAGGCGGCCCCCUGGACAAAGACUGACGCUCAGAUGCGAAAGCGUGGGGAGCAAACAGGAUUAGAUACCCUGGUAGCACAGAG